rnacentral:rRNA from 1 species
GGCUGAAAUUCGCCUUCAUGAAGUCGGAAUUGCUAGUAAUGGCAGGCCAGCAUACUGCCGUGAAUACGUUCCCGGGCCCUUGUACACACCGCCCGUCACACCAUGAGAGUUGGAGAUACCCGAAGCCUAUGAGCUAACUUUUAGAGGCAGUAGUCGAAGGUAGAAUCAAUGAUUGGGGUGAAGUCGUAACAAGGUAAC